GGCAGACGGGUGAGUAACGCGUGGGAACGUGCCCUUCGGUUCGGAAUAACUCAGGGAAACUUGAGCUAAUACCGGAUACGCCCUUUAGGGGGAAAGAUUUAUUGCCGAAGGAUCGGCCCGCGUCCGAUUAGCUAGUUGGUGAGGUAACGGCUCACCAAGGCGACGAUCGGUAGCUGGUCUGAGAGGAUGAUCAGCCACACUGGGACUGAGACACGGCCCAGACUCCUACGGGAGGCAGCAGUGGGGAAUAUUGGACAAUGGGCGCAAGCCUGAUCCAGCCAUGCCGCGUGAGUGAUGAAGGCCCUAGGGUUGUAAAGCUCUUUCGCCAGGGACGAUAAUGACGGUACCUGGAUAAGAAGCCCCGGCUAACUUCGUGCCAGCAGCCGCGGUAAUACGAAGGGGGCUAGCGUUGUUCGGAAUCACUGGACGUAAAGCGCACGUAGGCGGAUUUUUAAGUCAGGGGUGAAAUCCCGAGGCUCAACCUCGGAACUGCCUUUGAUACUGGAGAUCUGGAGUCCGGGAGAGGUGAGUGGAACUGC
rnacentral:rRNA from 1 species